ACCUGGUUGAUCCUGCCAGUAGUCAUAUGCUUGUCUUAAAGAUUAAGCCAUGCAUGUCUAAGUAUAAGCAUUUAUACCGCGAGACUGCGAACGGCUCAUUAAAACAGUUAUGGUUUAUUUGAUGGUUCCUUUGCUACUUGGAUAACCGUAGUAAUUCUAGAGCUAAUACAUGCACGAAGGGACGACUCACGAAGUCCUGUAUUUAUUAGAUUAAAGCCAACCACCUCCGGGUGUUCGUGGUGAAUCAUAGUAACUUCUCGGAUCGCCGGCUCUACGCCAGCGACGUGUCAUUCAAAUUUCUGCCCUAUCAGUUUUAGAUGGUAGGAUAUGGGCCUACCAUGGCGGUGACGGGUAACGGAGAAUUAGGGUUCGAUUCCGGAGAGGGAGCCUGAGAAACGGCUACCACAUCCAAGGAAGGCAGCAGGCGCGUAAAUUACCCAAUCCUAAGCAGGGAGGUAGUGACAAUAAAUACUGACGCCGGAUUCAAUGAAUCUGGUAAAGAAUGAGAACAGUCUAAAACCCUUAUCGAGGACCCAUUGGAGGGCAAGUCUGGU
rnacentral:rRNA from 1 species